rnacentral:rRNA from 1 species
AGCACCCGCGGUAAUUCCAGCUCCAAUAGCGUAUAUUAAAAUUGUUGCAGUUAAAAAGCUCGUAGUUGAACUUCUGGCUUGGCGCGCGCGGCCCGGGCCGUAAAGGUCUGUGUGCCGUUGUGCGCCUGCCAUCUUGCUGGAGCACGGCUGUGCCCUUCACUGGGUUGCAGUCGCGAUUCAGCUCUUUUACUUUGAAAAAAU